rnacentral:tRNA from 4 species
GAAGGAUUAGUUAACAACAUAACAUCAGAAUGUCAAACUGAAGUAAUCAAAUAGAUAUCCUUCU